rnacentral:tRNA from 1 species
GCGAGCGUAGCUCAAUGGUAGAGCACCACCUUGCCAAGGUGGAUGUUGACGGUUCGAGUUCGUUCGCCCGCUCCA